rnacentral:rRNA from 1 species
UACGUAGGGGGCGAGCGUUGUCCGGAUUCAUUGGGCGUAAAGAGCUCGUAGGCGGCUUGGCAAGUCGGAUGUGAAAACUCCAGGCUCAACCUGGAGCCGCCAUUCGAUACUGCUAUGGCUAGAGUCCGGUAGGGGAGUGUGGAAUUCCCGGUGUAGCGGUGAAAUGCGCAGAUAUCGGGAGGAACACCGAUGGCGAAGGCGGCAUCCUGGACCGACACUGACGCUGAGGAGCGAAAGCCAGGGGAGCAAACGGG